AAUAUCACUCUAACUCCCCCGAUACCCACACAAUCUCAGACACACAAACACACACUCGAACACACAAACUGAGAAGAACACGACGGAGGAGGAUAUGAGAUUUAAAGCUUGGUGGAGAUAACACGCAGCUCGGAGAAGUUUAAAGCUCGAAAGAUGAUUUUAGGUUAUUUUCCGGUGAUCUUGGAAAUGAGAUGAAUGAUGAUGUUCUCUCAAAAGCAUUCUCACGAUUUCCUUCUUUUAAUAUGGCUAGGGCAAAAUUAUGGAUGACAAGAGCUGCUUGAGUUCGAUCUUUAGUUUGGAAAGUUAGUGAGAAACGACCUGGUUACAAUGCAAGUGAAUCUGAUUCAGAUGAUAUGUUAGAUGGCUGCAAUGGGAAUGGAAAAGACAAAAUCUGCAGAAGUACUACCAAAGUUAAGAGAUGAGUUAGCUUCUCAAACGGAGGACAAAAUGAAGAAGAAGUUGGAGCACUUUAGCCUUAUUUUGCUUGAAAUUUUGUGUUUCUAUUAGACUUGGUUAUGUUCUUAUGUAAAACAACAGUAAUAAGACUAUAAUACUACUUGUUGAUUUUUUGGAUUGGUGAAUGUUGGAUUGUGUUUUGAUAUACCAA